rnacentral:misc_RNA from 1 species
AACUUUCAGCAAUGGAUCACUUGGUUCUGGCAUCGAUGAAGAACGCAGCGAAAUGCGAUAAGUAAUGUGCAUUGCAGAAUUCAGUGAAUCAUCGAAUCUUUGAACGCACAUUGCGCCUUUUGGUAUUCCGAAGGGCAUGCCUGUUCGAGCGUCAUUAUAACCACUCAAGCCUAGCUUGGUCUUGGGGUUCGCGGUCUCGCGGCCCUUAAAAUCAGUGGUGGUGCCACCUGGCUCUAAGCGUAGUAAUUCUCUCGCUACAGGGUCUAGGUAGUUACUUGCCAUAAUCCCCCUCUCUUACGGUUGACCUCGGAUCAGGUAGGGAUACCCGCUGAACUUAAGCAUAUCAAUAAGCGGAGGCU